rnacentral:rRNA from 1 species
AUUGAACGCUGGCGGAAUGCUUUACACAUGCAAGUCGAACGGUAGAGGGGGCAACCCCUCGAGAGUGGCGAACGGGUGAGUAAUAUAUCGGAACGUGCCCAGUCGUGGGGGAUAACGUAGCGAAAGUUACGCUAAUACCGCAUACGAUCUAAGGAUGAAAGCGGGGGAUCGCAAGACCUCGCGCGAUUGGAGCGGCCGAUAACGGAUUCGGUAGUUGGUGGGGUAAAGGCUCACCUAGCCAACGAUCUGUAGCUGGUCUGAGAGGACGACCAGCCACACUGGAACUGAGACACGUUCCAGACUCCGACGGGAGGCAACAGUGGGGAAUUUUGGACAAUGGACGCAAGUAUGGUCCAGCCAUUCCGCGUGCAGGAUGAAGGCCAUCGGGUUGUAAACUGCUUUUGUACGGAACGAAAAGGUCUCUCUUAAUACGGGGGACUCAUGACGGUACCGUAAGAAUAAGCACCGGCUAACUACGUGCCAGCCGCCGCCGUAA